rnacentral:rRNA from 1 species
GACGAACGCUGGCGGCGUGCUUAACACAUGCAAGUCGAACGGAAAGGCCCUGCUCUUGUUGGUUUCUCGUUUGCCGAACGGGUGAGUAACACAUGUGUAACCUGCCCUUGUCUUUGUGAUAUCUUCAGGAAACUGGGGCUCUUACCCCAUAUGAUCUCUUGCUGCGUGUGGGUGAUUGGAAAGUUUCGGCGGUUGGGUCUGGACUCGCUGCUUAUCAGCUGGUUGGUGUGGUAGUUGCAUACCACGGCUUUGACGGGUAGCCGGCCUGAGAGGGUGACCGGCCACAUUGGGACUGCGAUAAGGAACAGAAGCCUACGGGAGGCAGCAGUGGGGAACCUUGCAGAAUGGGCGGAAGCGUGAUGCAGCAACGCCGCGUGCGGGAUGACGGCUUUCGGGUUGUAAACCGAUUUCGAAGGUGACGAAGAGUGAGUGACGGUAAUGGGUAAAGAAGCACCGGCUAACUACGUG